AGGCCACAUGCCGUCAUGUGCUAUUACUCCAUUUGCACAAGUGAUGGUCAACCCACCCAGCCAAAUGAUGCCUGUCAUCUGUACCAAAUUAGCCUUCCAAAAUCUCCCCCCUUUAAAAACAAGCGUGAGCUUCUGUAGCCAGCCCGUCCGGUAGGCUUUCAGAUGGACCAGAAAUGGCGAAGGGGAAGUUUGAGAAGGCUCCGGCCCUCGCAAGCACACCUCCACCGCCGCGAGCGCAUGGACACGACGACGCUCAUGGUGUGCUGUGGCAGAGGCUAGAUGCGCUGACCAUCGCUACUGAAGAUAAGGUAUGCGUUGCUGCAUACUUGGGGCAUGCUAAGAACGAAGGUAUGCGUGGUUUCCUCGCCGCUGCCAGUGACAAGACUUUCGAGACUUGGGUGUACCAGUUCAUAAGCAAGAACAAUGGCCAAUGACGUUUCGCUGUAAUACUUGACAAGUGGGUGUUAUAAUUUGCAUAAAUGGGAAUCUCUAGUGAUCUAGUUAAUGUCAGCUUCUGAUGAUCCAAACUAUUAGCUGCAAUAAUAAUGUAGUAAUGAUCGUGUAAUUUGUGCUGUAAACUCAUUUUGAAGUUUCGUAUGCAUGGUACAGGUUUGUGUUC